rnacentral:other from 1 species
UUUUGUCUUUGAGAGUAAACAGAUUUAAAUGAAACCGACAUCUUUUAUAAGGGAUUGUGACUGUUCUGAUUUGAAUGGCAAGCCCCCUUGCGAGGGGACGUCAGACAUCUUAGACAACGAACCCACCUUCACGUACUGAAGGUUUUCAUUUGUCGUUUACCGCUCAAAGAUACUAA